UUUCCUUUGGAAAUGACGAUAAAAUUGGAAAAUACAGAGAAGAUUAGCAUGGCCCCUGUGCAAGGAUGACACACAUAAAUCAAGAAAUUGUCCACAAAAGA